CUGGAUGACCAUCUCUUAGGGGAUCUUUUUCUUUUCCAGGCUCUGCUUGAUUUCAGAGAUGAUGGAGAUGCUAAACUGAGAGACCUGAGGAAGCAAGGGCAGGAGUUGUCAGAACAGCAGGACCUGCAGGAAAGCAAAAGGAAGGAGGUGCUGCAAAUGGUACGUGAUGCGGAGCAGGAAUGGAACACGGUUUUGCAGUAUUCCCAGGAUCUACAAAGCAAGGUGGAGGCCCAGAAUCUUUUGGCCCAGGAGAGCCAUGCCUUUCAGAACCUGGUGGACAGCACUCGAGCUUGGAUCAGAGGCCUGCAGCAGGAGGCAAAAGCUCUGGACAAAGGCAGCGAGGGCAGCCAGGCCCAGCUGGAGGAACGACUUCAGAAAGCACAGGUUAUCCUCGGUGUCAGGGCUGAAGGAGACACCCAGUUGCAGAACCUGAGGAGAAGUGGAGAGCAGCUGUUGGAGCAGCACAGGCAGGAGGAGAAUAGGAAGCUGAUUCUGCAGACGGUGUGCGAUGCUGAGCAGGAGUGGAAUACAGUUUUACAGGCGGCAGAGCAGCUGUGUGGGUAAGUUGGCACAUAUUGCCAUUUUUACGUCUUGAGAGUUCGAUCAAGAUUUUUGAAAUGGAGUCUGAGACUUGUAUAGAAACGUAUUUCUCCGGUUAAAAAGUCUUCUCUGAAUUGUCAGUGUCUUGCAGGGUGUGGUUGAGCGCUCCGUUGGCUGUCUGUGCCAGAAAGAGCAGGCUCGGGCUUGUGUGGAGCAGCUUCGGCACCAGACAGCCGAACUCCCCCUGUUGUUUCCGUGGCCUGGUCUAGGGGACCGGCGCCAAACUACGGAACAGGCCCAAUGCUUGUUGGACCGUACUGCAGCCCUGGCUCCCACCCUCUCUGCUCUCAGGACGCAGGCAACAGAGCUGUUCCAGCUCACAAAGGACCCCAGUUGGAUGGACCCCUGCUGGGCUUCCUUGGAAGAAAAUGCCAAAGCUCUGCUGGAUGACCUUGAGGUGAACACUCUCACACAUCUGUUAAUUAGAGCAGCUUCUGACUUCUGAAUUUGCCG
rnacentral:lncRNA from 1 species